rnacentral:rRNA from 1 species
GACGAACGCUGGCGGCGUGCUUAACACAUGCAAGUCGUACGGUAAGGCCCUUUCGGGGGUACACGAGUGGCGAACGGGUGAGUAACACGUGAGUAACCUGCCCACAACUUUGGGAUAACGCUAGGAAACUGGUGCUAAUACUGGAUAUGUGCCCCUGCUGCAUGGUGGGGGUUGGAAAGCUCCGGCGGUUGUGGAUGGACUCGCGGCCCAUCAGCUUGUUGGUGGGGUAGUGGCCUACCAAGGCGGCGACGGGUAGCCGGCCGGUGAGGGUGACCGGCCACCUUGGGACUGUGAUACGGCCCAGUCUCCUACGGGGGGCAGCAGUGGGGAAUAUUGCCCUAUGGGCGCAAGUCUGAUGCAUCAACGCCGCGUGCGGGAUGACGGCCUUCGGGUUGUAAGCCGCGUUCAGCAGGGACGAAGCUUUUUGUGACGUUACCUGCAGAAGAAGCACCGGCUAACUACGUG